ACACACACACACACACACACACACACACACACACACACACACACACACACACACACACAGAGAGAGAGAGAGAGAGAGAGAGACAGACAUAUAUUUUCUGUCCUGUAGUGAUGAAUUGGCUGAAUAAAGUUGCAGAUGUGGGAAAAGGUAUCGCCAGUGGAGUCUGUCGAACAGUUAAUCUGAUCUAAUCCAAAUUGAACAGCGAGGGCUCCACUGAUCCAGACUGGAGAAACCAGGGGAAAUUCAGUCUUCCUAAAUCCACGGCUGUGUUCCAAAUCACACACUAUUGGCCCUAACCCUACACUACACCACAUACUGGAACUGGGGAUUAACCCUUUAUACGACUCUGUGAUCAUGUGACAUGGAUUAUAAGUGUAUUAUACUACUACAUUAUGAAAUGGAUAAAAAAAAAUAUUUAAUAUCACUUUAUAAACCUCUAUAAAGCAUAUUGUGAUUAUAUAUAUAUAUAUAUAGUAUAUUGCACAUUUUCUGCACACUUGGGUUGUGAGUAAUAAUGAGUAUUAACAGAGUGGUGUUGGAGCUCCUGGAUAUGCAAAUACACUGAGAGAGAAAACUCCAAAUAAAGUACAGUAUUAA